UCAAAAUUUUACCGGUCUCGGAAUAUCCCUAAAUAAAGCUUUAAAGUGCCUUAUUUUCGGCUCUCUGCGAAGACACUGGCCAUUUCCCUGUGACGUCACACAGUGCUGCCAAUGUAAACAAACAAUGGGAAUACCACAGCAAGAUAUAGCGACAUUAGCUCGGAUUCAAACUCGGAUUUCAGCGACUUAAGCGAUUCAACAGAUUACGCAUGUAUUGAAACAGAUGGUUGGAGUAUGAAAGUAUUGAAGAAGAAACUGAAGCUAUUGAGCAAAUAGCUAUUGACGCUAUUCAUGGCCAUAGCAUGGCCGAAUAGCUGCGUUAGCAUCGCCGGUAAAAUGUGCGGACCAAACGAUCAGGACUUUCGCAUCUUUUGACACUGGAGCAACUUAAAUCCGUCGAUUGGAGUGAGGAUGGAGAGGAUUGAGCGCAGGAGAGUCCUUGCAGGAGCCAAGCAGACAUAAAGGAGAUGCUGACAGGACACAACAUUAUGACCGCCUGAUGAGAUCCAAGACAAGAAACAUUUCAAUUCAAACUGCUUCCACAGAGACAUCAUAUUCCAUUUGAAUGGACCCUCAGAGAAGUCAAUUAUAUCUAUUAGGGGGCACAAAAAUGGAUUCACAUCCAA